UGGCCAUGGUGGCUAUCGUGACCAUGAACCCAUCCCAAUUCCUGCCACUAGAACUUGUGGCCAAGUGUAUAGGAUCAAGAAUUCACACUGGGAUGAAGACUGAUAAAGAAAAUAUUGCUACGCUUCUAGGAUUUGAUGACUUUAUCAAUAUGGUGUUGGAAGAUGUUACAGAAUUUGAAAUUACACCAGAAGGAAGAAGAAUUACAAAAUUAGAUCAAAUUCUACUAAAUGGAAAUAAUAUAACAAUGCUGGUUCCUGGAGGAGAAAGGCAUGAAGUAUGAAUGGAUUUCCUCAAUUUAUGCUAGAUUCUGGCUUUCUUUCAAAACCUUUAAU